CUGCCACUUUCCACCACGCUUUGAAUUUGUCCUGACAUAGAAGGCUACCGUCACCACCACAUAGGCAUCUGUAAAGUCUCCCCAAAGCUGAGGCCUCGUGAGUUCAGUCUCCUCUUGUGUGGGCUGACACUCAGUUCCCUGCAUAUCAAUACUAGGAACAGUUACUGAGCGUGAGUCUGUUUCUUGUGCCAGGCAUCGUGCUAGGAGCCCUGACUACCAAGACAAUGACUACAGCAUCCACAGGAAUGCUCUGAAACAGGCAAAUCAGGUGAUCACUCCCUUCCCUUUGUUCAGCUGUGGUGAGAUUGUGAUGCCUGAGGAGCCAGAUCAUUACUUCCAAAAGACAAAAUGAGAAGCACCUGGAUGCCUGCUCACGAUGGGAGGCACCUGAGAUUGGGGUGUCUGACCCUUAAAUAGUAGAAGCCUGAGUCAUGUGGGAGCUCUUGGAGGGUUCCUCUCCCUUCUGCCUGUUCCUGCUAACGUUCUGUGAUCUUCAAUAAAGGCUUACAAUAAAUUCACAACAUAUAUAGUCCUCUGUUUUCAUUCUGGACUUGUGAUAAUCAUACCAGACUCCACUGAAAAACAGUGCCCUCCUAGACCAGCCAAGAAUGGAUGGUUCGUUUGCUGACAGAUUGGUUGUACAGGAUUAAAAGAAAGAGCUGGUAAUCGCAGAUCUGGUAAAGAAGAUUGAAGACGUAAGAGCUCCUGUCUGAUGAAUUGCAUUUAGCAGCAAUAUCACUGUAUUGUUGGUUAUAGAUUGUAAAGACAUUCCUAGAAGAGGACUUCCUGAACUGCUUCAGAAAGUGGCAAGAAUGAUGACGGCCUAAGAUUGCUACUUCUUGGAAGACAGAAAGGGUGAGGACGUGAUAGAUGUUUCCUAUCUCUUGUUCGUUUUCAAAGAAGCUUUGACUUGGUUGCUUUUAUGCUAUAGAACUCAGAGCACUUCACGUCUAUUCAACAUUUUAAACAAAUGGAAUUUUCUCAAAAGGCCCAGCGAUUUGCAGACACAUUUACGGUUUCCUUUCGAGUUACGUCUCACUUCUGUACUGGGGACCUUCUGUGCCUGGGUGGGCAGAGCACAAGAACUGAUCUUGGACUUGGAAGGAUUGAUGGGUUUUGGUGGAAUGGUCUCCCCGUGGCAGGUGGGAGGCAGACAAGGAGAAGCAACGUGUCUCUGAGACGAAAGUCAUCCUGACAACUUGACAUGGGGAAAGGGAAAAAGGUGGGGGACCGAAAAUGAGAAGAAUGAUGCUAGAGAUAGACCUUGACCUGGGGCAUUUUAGAUAUAUAUCUUGUGAUAUUAACACUUCUUUUAUUUUUGAAAAAAAUGAAAUAAAUUGCUUCCCAGUGA